ACCAUUCUUUUCUUGGGGUUGCACUACUAUCCAAUAAGUGUGUAGUGAGGACGGUACUGCUAACACCUAAGCAACACCAGAGCUCUCUGCUUUACUUUGGUGUGAUUUUUGGAAAA